rnacentral:rRNA from 1 species
UACGUAGGGUGCGAGCGUUAAUCGGAAUUACUGGGCGUAAAGCGUGCGCAGGCGGCGCGUUAAGACAGGUGUGAAAGCCCCGAGCUUAACAUGGGAAUUGCGCUUGUGACUGGCGUGCUGGAGUGUGGCAGAGGGAGGUGGAAUUCCACGUGUAGCAGUGAAAUGCGUAGAGAUGUGGAGGAACACCGAUGGCGAAGGCAGCCUCCUGGGCCAGCACUGACGCUCAUGCACGAAAGCGUGGGGAGCAAACAGG